rnacentral:rRNA from 1 species
CGAGUGGCGGACGGGUGAGUAAUGUCUGGGAAACUGCCUGGUGGAGGGGGGUAACUACUGGAAACGGUAGCUAAUACCGCAUAACGUCGCAAGACCAAAGAGGGGGACCUUCGGGCCUCUUGCCAUCGGAUGUGCCCAGAUGGGAUUAGCUAGUAGGUGGGGUAACGGCUCACCUAGGCGACGAUCCCUAGCUGGUCUGAGAGGAUGACCAGCCACACUGGAACUGAGACACGGUCCAG